GACAUCGUCUGUAACUUCUGGGACUGCCAAUGCAUUUCACUCUUUCUGGGAUAGCCAAGCUACGCGAAGGGUCGAGGGGAAGGUUGUCCCAUUGGGAAGCUGCCGCCGACAGGGGAGCCGAUAGGAGUUGUUGCCGCCGGCGUGAUGGCUCGGCUGAUUCGUUUCUGUUCUGCUCCCUCAAAUCUCAAUAUCUUGAGGCGUAUUAUCAUCUGCUUACUCUCGCGGAUUUGGAUACUGGUUGGCGCUGUUUACCUUGAGGAAUCUCGAAUUCAUAGAUGGCAGCCAUGUUACACUGAAAGGGCACUCUCGGAGGGAUUCGUUUUGGUGGGGUUCCCCUAUUUUUCCCCAAUUUGCUAGGUUCCAAAUCCAGCAUAUGUUACUGUCACCUCUUUUUCUGCUGUAACCGAUGACCAGGAUUUGGUGUCCUGGCUGAGGUGUGUGCAAGUGGUAACAGCAGCGUAUCAAACUGAAUUACUGAAGCGUGUAGUAACUGUAGAACUGCAGGUUUUAUUGGUCUAAAGCUGAUUCUGUGUAUCCAUCCAUCCAUUCAGUAACUGCCUAGUGAGGAUCUGGUGGAUGGUAUCUGUCUUGGCUACCAUAGCUAGAUGAUGUAGUGCACUUGCCGUAGCUUGCCAUUGUUAGCUGUGGGAAUUAAGCAGGCUGCAUUAAGUUUGUCAACAGACUACGACAUUUAAUAUGCAGUAGACAAUAUGAUGCGUUGUAGCUUCAUUCACCAGGGUAAUGUUACAAAUCCUAACGGGGCAUAUAUUUGUUUUGCUAGUACAUAUGGUGUCCUUAGUGCAAUUCUUUAUCCGAAGUACUAGUUAUUUAUCAAGCAUUAACAUGGAUUAUCAUCAUCUUCUCCUAGUGAUGUAGAAGAUGGUCCUUGAUUGGUGUCCUGCCUAUGUGCAAAUAUGAAAACAGUGUUAUAAUUACUUUAGUCCUAUCUUUUUUCUUCAUUGUUCAUUCCCUUGAGGUUGUUUCACAACGAAUACAAUUUUUAAUCUCACCCAUUGCACCCUCAAGAUUAACUGAACUUUUUUUUGUUUCCACUCAUUUGUCACUUGUGAUAUUAUCCGAGAGUAAUGAGAGACAUCAAUUCUUCUUGUUGUAUUGGAAUCAAGAGCUGAAACCUGCAUUCUUUUGUAAUUUUUAACCUCACCCAUUUUACCCUGAAGAUUAAUUGGACUUCUUUUGUUUGCACACUCUCAUUUGUGAUAUUAUCAGAGAGUAUGUAGAGUCAUUAAUCCUUCUUUUUUAUUGGAAUCAAGAGCCGAAACUUGCAUUUUCAGCAAUUAGUAUUUUUGGUCAGCAAACCUUUUUUAGUGUUUUCUGAUUAUUCUAGUUGUAAGGGUUUAUGAGUGAGGAAUUACCUGAUCAUAAUCGUUUUUCAUAUGUUACAGGAUCUGUUAGACCUCAAAGAAGCAACCCAGUUGGUUUGUGGUUUCUGCAUACUUGUGUGAAGAAAUCAUCUUGGAUAACAAGUGUUGUUGGAAAGCUUUGCGAGUAUAUCCUCGAAUCAAUCUGCAGUGCAAUAUUGCUUUUCAAUCGGCAAAAAAUCACAUAGCAGGCGGCUGAAGAUGAUGCCACGCCACCCAGAUUUCCACCAUACCUAAGGAUCAAGCUGCAACGGCAGAUCGAUAGCGGUAUUCCGAGACCAAGGAAGUCAUGCCACCAUCUUACGAUUGGCAUGCUUCGUGGCAGCAGCCCGACCCGCAUACAACUAAUUGGAAGCACUCAGUUUAUCAUUUUAUCAAGACAAAUGGGAGAAGCUACAUGCUUGAUCAGGACAUAUGUAGAGAUAGGUAAUGAAAAGGAGAACUGGAGAAGAGGUGUGGGGUGACACUCAUGUGUAGAGAGUGUACGAAUCCAAAGGUUUGUAUGGAUCUAUUUCUUGGUUGCCCCUCUCUCUAUAUUGAUCUUUGUCUCGUA